UAUAAGCAAUCUAUACUGUGAAACUGCGAAUGGCUCAUUAAAUCAGUUAUCGUUUAUUUGAUAGUACCUUACUACUUGGAUAACCGUGGUAAUUCUAGAGCUAAUACAUGCUAAAAACCUCGACUUCGGAAGGGGUGUAUUUAUUAGAUAAAAAACCAAUGCCCUUCGGGGCUCCUUGGUGAUUCAUGAUAACUUAACGAAUCGCAUGGCCUUGCGCCGGCGAUGGUUCAUUCAAAUUUCUGCCCUAUCAACUUUCGAUGGUAGGAUAGUGGCCUACCAUGGUAUCAACGGGUAACGGGGAAUUAGGGUUCUAUUCCGGAGAGGGAGCCUGAGAAACGGCUACCACAUCCAAGGAAGGCAGCAGGCGCGCAAAUUACCCAAUCCCGACACGGGGAGGUAGUGACAAUAAAUACUGAUACAGGGCUCUUUUGGGUCUUGUAAUUGGAAUGAGUACAAUUUAAAUACCUUAACGAGGAACAAUUGGAGGGCAAGUCUGGUGCCAGCAGCCGCGGUAAUUCCAGCUCCAAUAGCGUAUAUUAAAGUUGUUGCAGUUAAAAAGCUCGUAGUUGAACCUUGGGCCUGGCUGGCCGGUCCGCCUCACCGCGUGUACUGGUCCGGCCGGGCCUUUCCUUCUGGGGAUCCGCAUGCCCUUCACUGGGUGUGUCGGGGAACCAGGACUUUUACUUUGAAAAAAUUAGAGUGUUCAAAGCAGGCCUUUGCUCGAAUACAUUAGCAUGGAAUAAUAGAAUAGGACGUGCGGUCCUAUUUUGUUGGUUUCUAGGACCGCCGUAAUGAUUAAUAGGGAUAGUCGGGGGCAUCAGUAUUCAAUUGUCAGAGGUGAAAUUCUUGGAUUUAUUGAAGACUAACUACUGCGAAAGCAUUUGCCAAGGAUGUUUUCAUUAAUCAGUGAACGAAAGUUAGGGGAUCGAAGACGAUCAGAUACCGUCGUAGUCUUAACCGUAAACUAUGCCGACUAGGGAUCGGGCGAUGUUAUUCUUUUGACUCGCUCGGCACCUUACGAGAAAUCAAAGUCUUUGGGUUCU
rnacentral:rRNA from 1 species